GGCGUAGCAGCUGGCGCGGCGCGAAGAUUGAAAAUCCUUGUGUCGGUGGUUCGAUUCCGCCCCGGGCCACCA
rnacentral:tRNA from 1 species